GCCCAUAGCUCAGUGAGUAGGGCACCAGCCUCAUACACUGGAGCUGGCAGGUUCAAGCCCUGCCUGGGCC
rnacentral:tRNA from 1 species